rnacentral:rRNA from 1 species
UUGAUCGGCCUGCGCACCAUUAGCUAGUUGGUGAGGUAAUGGCUCACCAAGGCUGAGAUGGUUAGCUGGUCUGAGAGGAUGGCCAGCCACACUGGGACUGAGACACGGCCCAGACUCCUACGGGAGGCAGCAGUGGGGAAUAUUGCGCAAUGGGGGAAACCCUGACGCAGCGACGCCGCGUGGGUGAUGAAGGCCUUCGGGUCGUAAAGCCCUGUCGGGAGGGAAGAAACAAUUCGGGGCUAAUAUCCCCGGGUAUUGACGGUACCUCCUAAGGAAGCAC